GGACGCGCGACCGGCAGUCAGUCACCGUCAGCCAUGCCCAACCACGAGACCACGAGCCUCAUCGCCACCUACCUCAUCCUGGUGCUGCUGCUGGCCAGCCUCUGGCUGCUCUACUCCGGGAUGUUCUGAGAUGCAAGCGAUCACGUAGAGAGACCAAAGACGAUGGCGCCGGCCGCCGGCGGGCCGCCAUGAUAAUUUAAGAAACCGUAAUUAAGUUUAAGUUAUAGUUUAAUUCAGGGGAACAUCUGCAGCCGUCCGACGUGCGGACACUCCCACGGGGGGAGGGGGAGGGGGGUUGGGAUAUAAAGACAACCGUUUGUUAUAAAAUGUUGAUAUUGAGUACGCAAAUGUUACUGUUAAGCUAUGGACAUAUUUUAAUAAAGUGUUUUUAGAA